rnacentral:rRNA from 1 species
UACGUAGGGGGCUAGCGUUGUCCGGAAUCAUUGGGCGUAAAGAGCGCGUAGGCGGCCAUCUAAGUCAGACGUGAAAUCCCCCGGCUUAACCUGGGAACUGCGUCUGAUACUGGACGGCUUGAGUUUGGGAGAGGGAUGCAGAAUUCCAGGUGUAGCGGUGAAAUGCGUAGAUAUCUGGAGGAAUACCGGUGGCGAAGGCGGCAUCCUGGACCAACACUGACGCUGAUGCGCGAAAGCUAGGGGAGCAAACGGG